GCCCAGAUGGUGGAAUUGGUAGACACGAAGGACUUAAAAUCCUUUAGCCAUUGUGGCUGUACGGGUUCGAGUCCCGUUCCGGGCA
rfam:Porphyromonas sp. COT-108_OH1349 contig_34, whole genome shotgun sequence.